GAGCGACGACGGCAGGUCGAGCUCGGCUCGGUCCGAGGCGCCCGCCGCACACACUAGCGCACGCUCAAGCCGGCGUUCCACUCGGAGGCACCGCCGGGCCCCAGGAGAGGCCAGACGAAGCGGCGGCGGCUGGGGGUUUUUACAGUUCUUUUCCGAGUCGAAAAAGAAAGCAGACGGGAACCCGCCGCCCUCCCCUUCCUGCUAGCGAGGCCCGAUCUGCUGUGCCCUCACUCCAUACCCCAGCGUCUCCAGACCUUUAGCACCCGUACAGCCCACCCCGCCCUGUCUUGAUUGCGGGGAUGUAGAGUGGUUUGCGUCGUGAGGCCUGACAGAACCUUCUGUGUGGGGCCGCGGUAGGAGGAGGUUAAUGCAUAAUGCACAGCGCCUGGAAGCCCAGCCAUUAGCGGCCUGUCGGUGACACAGACAAACGACUGAAAGGAAGGGGAUCCAGCUCGCUCUGGAGUUUAAAUAUACCAGCAUGGAGAGGGAACGCCAUGAUUUAAAAGUGUGUGUUUGCAGACACCCGCAUAUAUUUUAAUGAUUUCCAGCAAGCUGCACGUCCCAACCCGGCACCCCCACCCCUCAACACAGAAGAGAGAGGAUGAAGGAGCCCACAGUUUUUUGAAUCUUCCUGUUCUGCUGACAAUCCAGAGACCUCCUUCCUGCCCGUUUAACACACCAGUGUUUUUUAGCAAUUAAGGCGAGAAUGGGGUGGGGAUAAAGAUAAGCCAAUUUUUUUCCGCCAUGCAAGUGUGAAAGAUAAGAUAAGGCUAAGCUGGGGCAAAGCGGCUGCUUACAACCUCCCCUCAGCGAUUUUGAUCGGUCACUUCUUAUCUCGAAAAAAUGCUCCUUUCGAAAACUGCAUCAAAAAAAGAAAAAAGCUGACGGAAAGCGUUUUCAUUUGGAAGUGACAUUUAAAACCUAACUGCCUUCCACCAGCAACCCCUCUCCAAAGGCGAGGCUCUCCAGGAAAAGUCGCACCUCUACUGCAGGGUUUCAGGCCUUCUCGUGGGAGGACUGGAUUUCUAGUGUAAUUAAACUCAAAACCAGGGAUGCGCGAUGAGGACUUAUUCUGCAUCUGACACAUGUUUAUCUUUUAUUACUGGUCUAUAUUUCUGUCUCACCAUCGAGAGGAUGUGCUGAAACUAAAACAAACAGGUAGCUAUAUUUGGGAGGGCCAUAUAAUAACUAUGUCAACAAUGAGGUGGCUGUUCGUUGGAAAAAAUAAAAAAAACUCUGUUGAUUUUCACAA
rnacentral:lncRNA from 1 species